rnacentral:rRNA from 1 species
GUUAGGAAUAUUGGACAAUGGGCGCAAGCCUGACGCAGCCAUGCCGCGUGAAUGAUGAAGGUCUUAGGAUUGUAAAAUUCUUUCACCGGGGACGAUAAUGACGGUACCCGGAGAAGAAGCUCCGGCUAACUUCGUGCCAGCAGCCGCGGUAAUACGAAGGGGGCUAGCGUUGCUCGGAAUUACUGGGCGUAAAGGGCGCGUAGGCGGACAGCUUAGUCAGAGGUGAAAGCCCAGGGCUCAACCUUGGAAUUGCCUUUGAUACUGGCUGUCUUGAGUACGGGAGAGGUGAGUGGAACUCCGAGUGUAGAGGUGAAAUUCGUAGAUAUUCGGAAGAACACCAGUGGCGAAGGCGACUCACUGGCCCGUUACUGACGCUGAGGCGCGAAAGCGUGGGGAGCAAACAGGAUUAGAAACCCCAGUAGUCC